rnacentral:pre_miRNA from 1 species
UAUAGGAUAGAUCUCGGCUCUACAAAACAAAUCCAACGGCCAAGAUUCAUUCAUGUCAUCACGGGUUAAAAUUUAACUCCAUUAAAAUUUUAACUCCUGAAAGUUUACUCCCAGUAAAAUUUUAACUCCUGAGUAAAUCUGCGAGUUAAAGUUUAACUCGUGAUGUCGUGGAUGAAUCUCAGCCAUUGGAUUUGUCUUGGAGGACCGAGAUUCACCCUGUG